GACUGGCUAGACUGAGAAGCAAAUGAGUAGCUGGAACAGCUCAUCAAACAGGGAAAAUAAAAGGCUGGCUACGUCGUGUGAGUGUGUUAUUGCCUGCCGUCUGCUGCUUGAAAGAGGGGAAACAGGCUUGCUCUUUUAUUAGCAGCACUGCGGUGUAAUUGCACCCUGCCUCUUCCUGUACUCCACACAACCGGGGAGGGAGGAGGGGGGAACUGGGCUUCUGACGUUAUACAAAUCGGAAUUCCCUUCCCCAUGCACACUCGUUCACUCACUCACUCACUCACACCCUCGCUCUAACCCCGUCUGGCUCCCAGACACUCUCUCUCUCUCUCUCUCUCUCUCUCUCUCUCUCUCGCUCUCUCUCUCUCUCUCUCUGUCUUUCACACACUCGCACACAUGGUGUCUGCGAGGCUGCCGGGCGCUCCCUCUGAAGACUCACUGCGAUCUCCAGGAGUUUUAGGAAGGGCGAGUGGGAAAAAGUGCAAAAAAAAAGUAACAGUGUGUGCUGGUGCUCCUUUCUCUCUGGUCUGUAUCAGUGGGCUGGUCUCCUGUGCCUGCUCUGCUGAUAAUCAGUGUCUCUCUUCAGCUGGCUCAGUUCAGCAGGAACAGGGGCCUGGUCUUGCCAACAUAACACCUUAGAGACACAUAUCCACAUCCACCCACACACACACACACACACACACACACACACACACACACACACACACACACACACACACACACACACACACACACACACAGAUGCACGCCACCAGACGUACAUUCUGGGAGAAUCCAUACUCCCGCACCUUCCACAGCUGGGAUCCAGAGCGUGAUGGCUAUAUACAGUUGAUUUAAGUUAUGAAUGUGAUAAUGUGUGAUAAUAAUACUAUAGCCUACCAAUUAUGGACUGGCGCCAGUGACAUCAAUAAAACUGAGACAUCAAUAAAAGCUAAGAGGCUCUGAGUCAAA